GGUUAAGCGACUAAGCGUACACGGUGGAUGCCCUGGCAGUCAGAGGCGAUGAAGGACGUGCUAAUCUGCGAAAAGCGUCGGUAAGGUGAUAUGAACCGUUACAGCCGGCGAUGUCCGAAUGGGGAAACCCAGUGUGAUUCGUCACACUAUCGUUAACUGAAUACAUAGGUUAACGAGGCGAACCGGGGGAACUGAAACAUCUAAGUACCCCGAGGAAAAGAAAUCAACCGAGAUUCCCCCAGUAGCGGCGAGCGAACGGGGAGCAGCCCAGAGUCUGAAUCAGCUUGUGUGUUAGUGGAACGGUCUGGAAAGUCCGACGGUACAGGGUGAUAGUCCCGUACACCAAAAUGCACAGGCUGUGAACUCGAAGAGUAGGGCGGGACACGUGGUAUCCUGUCUGAAUAUGGGGGGACCAUCCUCCAAGGCUAAAUACUCCUGACUGACCGAUAGUGAACCAGUACCGUGAGGGAAAGGCGAAAAGAACCCCGGCGAGGGGAGUGAAAAAGAACCUGAAACCGUGUACGUACAAGCAGUGGGAGCACCUUCGGGUGUGACUGCGUACCUUUUGUAUAAUGGGUCAGCGACUUAUAUUCUGUAGCAAGGUUAACCGUAUAGGGGAGCCGCAGGGAAACCGAGUCUUAACUGGGCGUUAAGUUGCAGGGUAUAGACCCGAAACCCGGUGAUCUAGCCAUGGGCAGGUUGAAGGUUGGGUAACACUAACUGGAGGACCGAACCGACUAAUGUUGAAAAAUUAGCGGAUGACUUGUGGCUGGGGGUGAAAGGCCAAUCAAACCGGGAGAUAGCUGGUUCUCCCCGAAAGCUAUUUAGGUAGCGCCUCGUGAACUCAUCUUCGGGGGUAGAGCACUGUUUCGGCUAGGGGGUCAUCCCGACUUACCAACCCGAUGCAAACUACGAAUACCGAAGAAUGUUAUCACGGGAGACACACGGCGGGUGCUAACGUCCGUCGUGAAGAGGGAAACAACCCAGACCGCCAGCUAAGGUCCCAAAGUCAUGGUUAAGUGGGAAACGAUGUGGGAAGGCACAGACAGCCAGGAUGUUGGCUUAGAAGCAGCCAUCAUUUAAAGAAAGCGUAAUAGCUCACUGGUCGAGUCGGCCUGCGCGGAAGAUGUAACGGGGCUAAACCAUGCACCGAAGCUGCGGCAGCGACACUAUGUGUUGUUGGGUAGGGGAGCGUUCUGUAAGCCUGCGAAGGUGACCUGUGAGGGUUGCUGGAGGUAUCAGAAGUGCGAAUGCUGACAUAAGUAACGAUAAAGCGGGUGAAAAGCCCGCUCGCCGGAAGACCAAGGGUUCCUGUCCAACGUUAAUCGGGGCAGGGUGAGUCGACCCCUAAGGCGAGGCCGAAAGGCGUAGUCGAUGGGAAACAGGUUAAUAUUCCUGUACUUGGUGUUACUGCGAAGGGGGGACGGAGAAGGCUAUGUUAGCCGGGCGACGGUUGUCCCGGUUUAAGCAUGUAGGCUGAUUGUCCAGGCAAAUCCGGAUAAUCAAGGCUGAGGUGUGAUGACGAGGCACUACGGUGCUGAAGUAACAAAUGCCCUGCUUCCAGGAAAAGCCUCUAAGCAUCAGGUAACAUUAAAUCGUACCCCAAACCGACACAGGUGGUCAGGUAGAGAAUACCAAGGCGCUUGAGAGAACUCGGGUGAAGGAACUAGGCAAAAUGGUGCCGUAACUUCGGGAGAAGGCACGCUGGUGUGUAGGUGAAGUCCCUGCGGAUGGAGCUGAGACCAGUCGAAGAUACCAGCUGGCUGCAACUGUUUAUUAAAAACACAGCACUGUGCAAACACGAAAGUGGACGUAUACGGUGUGACGCCUGCCCGGUGCCGGAAGGUUAAUUGAUGGGGUUAUCCGUAAGGAGAAGCUCUUGAUCGAAGCCCCGGUAAACGGCGGCCGUAACUAUAACGGUCCUAAGGUAGCGAAAUUCCUUGUCGGGUAAGUUCCGACCUGCACGAAUGGCGUAAUGAUGGCCAGGCUGUCUCCACCCGAGACUCAGUGAAAUUGAACUCGCUGUGAAGAUGCAGUGUACCCGCGGCAAGACGGAAAGACCCCGUGAACCUUUACUAUAGCUUGACACUGAACAUUGAGCCUUGAUGUGUAGGAUAGGUGGGAGGCUUUGAAGCGUGGACGCCAGUCUGCGUGGAGCCAACCUUGAAAUACCACCCUUUAAUGUUUGAUGUUCUAACGUUGGCCCCUUACCGGGGUUGCGGACAGUGUCUGGUGGGUAGUUUGACUGGGGCGGUCUCCUCCCAAAGCGUAACGGAGGAGCACGAAGGUUAGCUAAUCCUGGUCGGACAUCAGGAGGUUAGUGCAAUGGCAUAAGCUAGCUUGACUGCGAGCGUGACGGCGCGAGCAGGUGCGAAAGCAGGUCAUAGUGAUCCGGUGGUUCUGAAUGGAAGGGCCAUCGCUCAACGGAUAAAAGGUACUCCGGGGAUAACAGGCUGAUACCGCCCAAGAGUUCAUAUCGACGGCGGUGUUUGGCACCUCGAUGUCGGCUCAUCACAUCCUGGGGCUGAAGUAGGUCCCAAGGGUAUGGCUGUUCGCCAUUUAAAGUGGUACGCGAGCUGGGUUUAGAACGUCGUGAGACAGUUCGGUCCCUAUCUGCCGUGGGCGCUGGAGAAUUGAGGGGGGCUGCUCCUAGUACGAGAGGACCGGAGUGGACGCAUCACUGGUGUUCGGGUUGUCAUGCCAAUGGCACUGCCCGGUAGCUAAAUGCGGAAGAGAUAAGUGCUGAAAGCAUCUAAGCACGAAACUUGCCCCGAGAUGAGUUCUCCCUGAGACUUUAAGUCUCCUGAAGGAACGUUGAAGACGACGACGUUGAUAGGCCGGGUGUGUAAGCGCAGCGAUGCGUUGAGCUAACCGGUACUAAUGAACCGUGAGGCUUAACCUU
rnacentral:rRNA from 1 species